UACAGAGGGGGCAAGCGUUGUUCGGAAUUACUGGGCGUAAAGGGCGCGUAGGCGGCCUGCUAAGUCGAACGUGAAAUCCCUGGGCUCAACCCAGGAACUGCGUCCGAUACUGGUUGGCUUGAAUCCGGGAGAGGGAUGUGGAAUUCCAGGGUGUAGCGGUGAAAUGCGUGAGAUAUCUGGAGGAACACCGGUGGCGAAGGCGACAUCCUGGACCGGUAUUGACGCUGAGGCGCGAAAGCCA
rnacentral:rRNA from 1 species